AACGCACAUUGCGCCCGCCGGUAUCCCGGCGGGCAUGCCUGUCCGAGCGUCAUUAAAACCCUCAGGUCCUCGCGCCUGGUGUUGGGGCCCUGCGCGGCAGGCCCCGAAAGACAGCGGCGGGAGCGUCCCGGAACCGAACGCAGUAGUUACCUCUCGUUCUGGCCCAGGGCGCCCUCCAGCCGGAAAACGCUUGUUAGCUUUCUCAAGUUGACCUCGGAUCAGGUAGGAAUACCCGCUGAACUUAA
rnacentral:misc_RNA from 1 species